UUGGGCAGAAAAGCUAGCGAUAGAGGAAAAAAAAAACUCGUCUCGCAUUCUCCCCCACGCACGCGACCUUCUCUCGUUCUGCACGCCAACGAAGCCGCCGCCGCCGCCGCCUCCUCUCCUCCUUUCUCUCAGCGUCGCCAUAUCGGGGAUCGGGGAGCCACCGGUAGGAGAUCAGAGACGCCGCGACCAUGGCAGAAGCAGCAUCCUCGAAUAGAUCCGGCGCUCACUGCUGCCGCCGUCUGUUUCUCUUGUCUAUGGUUGGGGCUUCGGCAAUGGUUGGUGCACGACGAUUAGAGGUGCAGAUCGAAGAUGCGUCCGCCCCCGCCUCCUCUGGUGUCGGCCGCACGCUCGAGAGGGCAGCUGCGUUGCUGGCCGCGGGUUCAGCAGCCAGCGCCUCCUCUCCUCUCCAAAUUCAGCACGCCAUCUAGUGAGUGCAUCGGGGGCUGCCGUGCCCUCAACGACGGUAGAUCACCAGGUUCAGAGAAGGAAUGGCUUCAACCAGGGGAGACAUAGGAUGUGAGUUAGGCCAAGGCAAACUGAUAGGAAGGAGUGAGUAUGGCGAACGGUCUAACUGUCUCAGAGGUUGAUCAACAUGUGAGAAUAUCAAAGAGAACGAAUUGUUGUAUUAGUUUCUAUUUUUCAGUUUUGCUCUUAAUUGGCUGACCCUGAAUCCCCCAUCGAUAUGCAGAACGCUAACAGAAUCCUCUUAGACUCCUUGAUAUUUAAUGUUAGUUGUCAUAACAUAAUAACGGCUGUUUUUUGUGUGUUCAUAUUGUUAGAUAUAAUAUAUUAGAGUUAAGAUAAUUAGGAUCUGGAUCUCUUGAUUAGAACAUCCCUGGAGCAGAAUGGUGAUGACUAACCGUGAUUAUCUUGAUCCAUUAGCAGGAUAGCCCUUGGCUCUACCUUAGCAUCUCCAGCAGUGAGGAGAUCCUCGGGGAGGAAAGGCAGCAAGCAGGGCGAUGUAGCAGACAUGACAGACGCCGCCGGCGGCGACGCGAGGCACCCGGCGUCAUCCAUCACGCGCUGGUCUAGGCGCCGUAAACCUGCGCCCCGUCCGCCUCUGCGUAUGGCGACGACACUACUUCAACGGUGCUGCUGCAGCAUGACGUAGUGAAGUUGACGCGCAUGGCGUGGUAGCCAUGCUCGUAGGCGUGCAUGAUGUAUGUGCUGCACGCCUGCACGGCAACACCUCCAAUCUGAAGCGGGAUAGCCCUUGGCUAUACCUUAGCAUCUCCAGCAGUGAGGAGAUCCUCGGGGAGGAAAGGCAGCAAGCAGGGCGAUGUAGCAGACAUGACGGACGCCGCCGGCGGCGACGCGAGGCACCCGGCGUCAUCCAUCACGCGCUGGUCUAGGCGCCGUAAACCUCUGGUCCAUGUCCCCUUCGCACCACUUAUAAAAUGAGGAGGUCGUACCCCUUGGGGUGAGACACAUGUACGGGUAAACACCCUAGUUACUCCUAACAGCCGAUCCUGAAAAGGUGCUUAAGGGGAUCAGAACCAAAAGUUGGGUCAAUGCCCCCGAUCAGGGCAUGUACCGGGGAUGCAAGCCCUCCCCUUCUUUCUCUCAGUUUGUUGUAACCGUAGAUCAAUUCCAACACAUAUAUGUUUUUAUAUAUUUUUAAAUAAAAUAAGUGACUUGUUUCUUAAUGACCAAAUACUGCAUCACUGAAUUUGUGUAAAUGGAAUUCAUCAUCUUGACAAGUAUCUAAGACAGUUGAUAUAUGUUAGAUAUCUUGAAUCCAGUAAGAGUUAAAACCCAUUAUGUUCCUUACUGCUGUAGCAGAUUGGAUUGAGCAGGGUGCCCUUCUGCUCUAAAGAUUGGAUUAGUGGAGGUAUUUAGUUUUAUGAUGGUCAGGUCAAUCAAAAUCACAUGGUCUUUUUUUUAAGUUGAGGAAAAAAAGACACCGGAACAGGCUAGAAGGUGGGCGACGCCGCGAGCUCUCCUCCUGAAGAAGCCACUGCCCGCUGCAGUCAUUGACACCUCCUCCGCCGCAGGAGGCCGUGGGCGAGAGGAAGGCGGCGUCGUCAUCUGCAGAAGGACCAUCGCCCUCCUUGUCAAGUGCAUACCUCUGCUGUUCUUCCCUGGGGUGUGAGGAUCAAGUGAAGGUGGAGCAUGGCUAGCCUGCUUGUUUAGCACAGUCCAGUAUUCUUUGGUUUUUCUUUGCAGUUCAUGUUUUGGCUUGAAUAAUUUCAAAAUCGAGCAGGGAUUGUUUGUUUUUUUCUGCUGAUGGUUUAAUUGUCAAACUACAGGUGCAGAGGAGAGGGAGAAUUUUCAUAUCAAAUACUCAGGCUGGACAAUGGAGUGAAGCAUAUGAGGUGCCUUAUCCCAUCAAUCUCGUUGCAUUCCAACCAAUAUUUCUUCUGUCCUAAAUCACGCGGAAGGUCGCGAUGGGUUGUGUUUUUUACCCAAUGUCAAUGAUGCAACUACUGGAUUAAGGAUACUGGGACUACACAUUGGUUCUGGUAGCUAAUAAGUUUGUAUGAAGUAAUUUAGGAGGCUACAUAAUUUAAGUUCUAUGCAAUUGUGGGUGUACAUCCUAAUGUCCCGACGAACUCUUUCUCGCUGUUUAGGGUAGAAUGUAACACUGAAUAUUAUCUGAGCUUUUAGUUCGUCUCAGUUUACUUCUAAUGUCAUGAACUGAUGAUUUGUCCGAGCUUGUAGUUUUCUUGUUAUGCUUAUUAUUUUUAUCUCGAUACAUGAGUGGAAAUUGAAUCAAAUAGUAAAGCUAUUACUCAAAUUGUCCUAAGAAUUUAAACACUGAAGCCUCCUAAUAUUCUGAAAUUGUGCUUUCUCUUUCCUCUUCUUAUUUUGAAAGUAAUUUGCUAGACGUUUUAUACCAUGAAUUCUGUAGCACAAUUGGAGCUAUCUUUAUCACAUUGUAAUGACACAAUCUCAUCAGUUUAACUGGAUGAGUCUGCGUGAUUUUGUAUGUGGAACUACUACUCCCCGCAGUUCCCGAUCUCACGAUCAUCCCAUUCUAGCCAACUGCUCUUCUGUAGUAGUUAAGAACAUGCACCGAGGAAGCGCGAUCUGUUUUGAUACUUUGUGAGCAAUAACGCCUGCUCUUCUAUUGCAGUUAUUGUGACGGUGUGUUGAUCGUGAGGAACAAUGGUAAU